rnacentral:rRNA from 1 species
UACGGAGGGAGCUAGCGUUGUUCGGAAUUACUGGGCGUAAAGCGCACGUAGGCGGCUUUGUAAGUUAGAGGUGAAAGCCUGGGGCUCAACCCCAGAAUUGCCUUUAAGACUGCAUCGCUUGAAUCCGGGAGAGGUGAGUGGAAUUCCGAGUGUAGAGGUGAAAUUCGUAGAUAUUCGGAAGAACACCAGUGGCGAAGGCGGCUCACUGGACCGGUACUGACGCUGAGGCGCGAAAGCGUGGGGAGCAAACAGG